GACGUCAGAGCGCCCAGCUCCGGCUGUGUUGCAGGGACUUCCAGAGCCUUGCUUACACCGUUGAAGACCUUGUGUUCAGACAGCGCUUUCCCUCUCCCACUCGGCUCGGAGCCAAGCGCCACCUCUUCUCGCUCAUCCGAGAACUUUGAACCCCGCCCUGAACGCAAGGUGAUCGGCGCAGAGACAAGAGGGCAAAGCUGUGCGCAUUCUCGUUUUUAUUUCAUUGUUGACCCGGUGGCGGCGCCUUUGAGUGGAAGCCGAAGUCAGGAACGCGAGGACUUGAGAACGUGGCUGAGGUAUAUGGAGGCAACCAGGGCAACCACCACAGCUACAACCUUGUUAAAGUACUCCAAACGGUGUCUCCACCAUGGGCUUCCUUCCUUCCUGAGCUGCUCUCCCUGCUUGCUCCUUGCCUUGCCCCAAGGCCUGGGAAGAAGGGGUUGGUUCCCUGCCAUCCUUCCUGCCCCGACUCACCAUUAGCCCUUCCACGAUCCCGAAGUUUUCAUGAAUAACCUUGGCGAGAGGAGCCAGGCAGUUGGUGGUACAGGAUGCAUUGCUGAAACGGCCAUAGCAUGCCAGAUGAGUGGCAGAGCCACCCCUUCUCCACUACUCUUACUUUACCAGGUUGAGAGUACUUCGGCAAUUCCUGCAAUAGAACUUGAGUUUGGCAUGACCCCUCCGACCUACAGUCCUGCCUUCAGCCUUCCUCCAAACACGCUGUCACACCUCAUCUUCAGCAAGUUAAAAGGGAAGCUGAGAGUGUCUUGCCUGAGAAGGAGCCAGAAGACCUUGCCUGGGGCUACAGAGGGUUGGGUGCUUCUCUGUUUGCAAAGUGACGCUGGGUGUUCCCAGGGAAGGGCCGUAUGUCUCCAUGUGAAAACCACCUCCCUCUCUCAGAUAACACGAGUUCAGAUUCCAAUACUGCUGUGGAGUGGAUCACAACCCUACGUGACUCCAGCUCCAGGACUGCCGACAGCUUCAUCUGGCCUCCCUCAGGACCUGUGUGGUCCCAGAUCCUGUCUUUCCUCAUGAGGGUGUCUGGAUUCUGACGUCUGGAGUAGGUGGGGUCUGCAGUCUGCCUUUCCCCUCCAGGGCAUCAGACGCCCCUGCCCACCAGGACGGGAGGGGUGAAGCAGGGUCAGGGAAGAAUAUUGUGGUUCCGUGUCUUCUACUGUCUUCUUCCGGGUUGCGGGGGUUGCUUCUCCAAGAAUCUUAGUGCUAUGACUCUUAGGCAAAGGCCUUCUCUGGCUAUCUUUAAUGAAGCGGCUCUCAGAGAUG
ensembl:antisense Tmem147os transmembrane protein 147, opposite strand